ensembl:snRNA U6 U6 spliceosomal RNA
GUGCUUGUUUCAGCAGCACAUAUACCAAAACUGGAAUGAUAAACAAAAGAUUAGCAUAGCCCCUGUGCAAGGAUGACAGGCAGAUUCAUGAAACAUUCCGUGUUCUU